UGCGCAGGCGGAUAUAUAAGUUGGAUGUGAAAUCCCCGAGCUUAACUUGGGAAUGGCAUUCAAGACUGUAUGUCUAGAGUUUGUCAGAGGGGGGUAGAAUUCCAAGUGUAGCAGUGAAAUGCGUAGAGAUUUGGAGGAAUACCGGUAGCGAAGGCGGCCCCCUGGGAUAGAACUGACGCUCAGGCACGAAAGCGUGGGUAGCAAACA
rnacentral:rRNA from 1 species